rnacentral:rRNA from 1 species
AUUGAACGCUGGCGGAAUGCUUUACACAUGCAAGUCGAACGGCAGCACGGGGCAACCUGGUGGCGAGUGGCGAACGGGUGAGUAAUACAUCGGAACGUGCCCAAUCGUGGGGGAUAACGUAGCGAAAGUUACGCUAAUACCGCAUACGAUCUACGGAUGGAAGCGGGGGAUCGCAAGACCUCGCGCGAAUGGAGCGGCCGAUGUCAGAUUAGGUAGUUGGUGGGGUAAAGGCUCACCAAGCCAACGAUCUGUAGCUGGUCUGAGAGGACGACCAGCCACACUGGAACUGAGACACGGUCCAGACUCCUACGGGAGGCAGCAGUGGGAAUUUGGACAAUGGGCGCGAAGCCUGAUCCAGCCAUUCCGCGUGC